GUUUUUCCUUGAUUGAGUUUUUUGUUUCUAAAUUUUGUGUAUUUUGUAUUUGUUGGGACUGACUUUGACAAAGUUCUUUUCCAGAUACAGAGAUUUAUUUGUUGGUAAUUUUUUUGUUUUUCCUUCUUUUGCCACGGUAACUAAUUCAGAUGUAAACACUAGGACAGAUUUAAUGGGUUGUUCUUUGUACCAUUUUCUUUUCCUUCUAUUGUUUUUUUGGUUGCCGAAAAGGUUGAAGUCAGAUAUUAUGUCAAAAGAAAAUUUAUCAAUUUUCAAGAAACUACUAAUAUCCUAACUUGGUUCUUUGGACCGCUCUGAGAGGACUGGAUUUGCAGACUGGCUUUUUUCACCUUGAGGCAAAUUAAAGCUCCCACUAAUAACUUUGAUCCUGUAAACAACAUUGGGGAAGGCAGUUUUGGUUGUGUCAACAAGGGCAUAUUAUUGGAUGGCCUUACAAUUGCAGUUAUAAUGAGAAAAUCAUUUAAUCAAACAGUAAUUUUCGUUCUUUACUCAGAAAUAGAGCAAAUUAGAGAGAAUGAGAAAGAGAGUGGUUUUGGUUUUUGAUUGAUUAGUCAAACACAAGCUUGGCACUCGGCCUUUGAAAACAUAAAUUUUGAUAUUGUCAGCUUUGCUGUUUCUAAUUCAGCUAAGCAGCUAGAAAUGAUUUGAAUUAAGGUGUUUAUAUAUGUAUGGGGGAUUUUGUGUUUGAGAAUCCAGAGGAUACUUUGCAGUCAUGGCGCAUUGAUGGUUAUAGUUUAUUUGUUGAUGGUUUAUUAA
rnacentral:lncRNA from 1 species